GGUCAAGCUAUUAAGGGCACACGGUGGAUGCCUUGGCGCCAGAGGCCGAAGAAGGACGCGGUAGGCUGCGAUAAGCUCCGGGGAGUUGCCGAACAAACCUCGAUCCGGAGAUGUCCGAAUGGGGAAACCCACUGCGGGUAAUGCCGCAGUAUCCAUGGCUGAAUACAUAGGCCAUUGGAGGGUAAGCGGGUGAACUGAAACAUCUUAGUAACCCGAGGAGGAGAAAGAAACCUCGAUUCCCUUAGUAGCGGCGAGCGAAAUGGGAAGAGCCUAAACCGGCUACGUGUAGAAAGCUGCAACUGUUGCGUGGUUGGGGUUGAGGGAUAGUCCGCAGGCGUAUUGCAGUACGCCAUCAGAGUAAGAAAAGCUGUUGUUAGCCGAAUUGGCUGGAAAGCCAGACCAAAGAGGGUAACAGUCCUGUAGGCGAAAGCAACAGCUCUCUGAGAGGCUGUCCCGAGUACCGCGGGUCACGUGAAACCCUGCGGGAAUCUGGGGAGACCACUCCCUAAGGCUAAACACCUCUGGCGACCGAUAGUGAACUAGUACCGUGAGGGAAAGGUGAAAAGCACCCCGGGAGGGGAGUGAAAUAGAACCUGAAACCGUGUGCUUACAAGCAGUUGGAGCACCCAUAGAGGUGUGACAGCGUGCCUUUUGCAUAAUGAGCCGGCGAGUUACGGUAUGCAGCAAGGUUAAGCGCUAAAGGCGCGAAGCCGUAGCGAAAGCGAGUCUGAAUAAGGCGCAAGUUGUAUGUCGUAGACCCGAAACCGAGCGAUCUACCCAUGGUCAGGCUGAAGCGCGGGUAACAGCGCGUGGAGGGCCGAACCAGUCACGGUUAAAAACGUGUUGGAUGAACUGUGGGUAGCAGUGAAAAGCUAAUCGAGCUCGGAAAUAGCUGGUUCUCCCCGAAAUAGCUUUAGGGCUAGCCUUGAGGGAUGAGUAACGGAGGUAGAGCACUGAUUGGGCUAGGGGCCCAACAAGGUUACUGAACCCACUCAAACUCCGAAUGCCGUUACUUUACCUCGGGAGUCAGACUACGGGAGAUAAGUUCCGUGGUCAAAAGGGAAACAGCCCAGAUCGUCAGCUAAGGUCCCCAAGUACGGACUAAGUGGCAAAGGAGGUAGAGCUGCUCAGACAACCAGGAUGUUGGCUUAGAAGCAGCCACUCAUUGAAAGAGUGCGUAAUAGCUCACUGGUCGAGUGGCUCUGCGCCGAAAAUGUAACGGGGCUCAAGUCCGUCACCGAAGCUACGGGAUAAUUUUAUUAUCGGUAGGGGAGCGUUGUGUUAGCGCUGAAGCCGCGCCGUAAGGUUAGUGGUGGAGCAGACACAAGAGCGAAUGCCGGCAUCAGUAACGAAAAGACAGGUGAGAAUCCUGUCCGCCUUAAGCCUAAGGUUUCCUGGGGAAGGGUCGUCCUCCCAGGGUUAGUCGGGACCUAAGCCGAGGCCGCAAGGCGUAGGCGAUGGACAACAGGUUGAUAUUCCUGUACCACCACGCAAGCAUUUGAGCGAUGGGGUGACGCAGGAGGGUAGGCACAGCGCACAGUUGGUGUUGCGUCCAAGCCCGUAGGGGGCAUGAUCAGGCAAAUCCGGUCGUGCAUUAACCCCGAGAGGUGAUGGGGAGUGAAACUAAAGUAACGAACUGGCCGAUCCCACACUGACAAGAAAAGCCUCUAGCAAGCUUGCUGGUGCCCGUACCGCAAACCGACACAGGUAGGCGAGGAGAGGAUCCUAAGGCGCGCGGGAGAACCCUCGUUAAGGAACUCGGCAAAAUGACCCCGUAACUUCGGGAGAAGGGGUGCCCCAGUAGUCUGAUGGCGACUUGCUCGCCAGAGGAUGAAGGGGUCGCAGAGACCAGGCCCAAGCGACUGUUUAUCAAAAACACAGGUCCCUGCUAAGGAGAAAUCCGAUGUAUAGGGGCUGACGCCUGCCCGGUGCUGGAAGGUUAUGAGGAGGGGUUAGCGCAAGCGAAGCUCUGAAUCGAAGCCCCAGUAAACGGCGGCCGUAACUAUAACGGUCCUAAGGUAGCGAAAUUCCUAGUCGGGUAAGUUCCGACCCGCACGAAAGGCGUAACGAUUUGGGCGCUGUCUCAACGAGGGACCCGGUGAAGUUGUAGUACCUGUGAAGAUGCAGGUUACCCGCGACAGGACGGAAAGACCCCGUGGAGCUUUACUGCAGCUUGAUAUUGGAUUUUGGUCCUUAUUGUACAGGAUAGGUGGGAGGCUUGGAAGCAUGGGCGUUAGCUUGUGUGGAGCCAUCGGUGGAAUACCACCCUUUAAGUACUAGAGUUCUAACCAUGAACCGUGAUCCGGUUCUGGAACAGUGUCAGGCGGGCAGUUUGACUGGGGCGGUCGCCUCCUAAAAAGUAACGGAGGCGCCCAAAGGUUCCCUCAGUGCGGUUGGAAAUCGCACGCAGAGUGUAAAGGCACAAGGGAGCUUAACUGCGAGACAUACAGGUCAAGCAGAGACGAAAGUCGGGCUUAGUGACCCAGCGGUCCCGAGUGGAAGGGCCGUUGCUCAUCGGAUAAAAGUUACCCCGGGGAUAACAGGCUUAUCUCCCCCAAGAGUCCACAUCGACGGGGAGGUUUGGCACCUCGAUGUCGGCUCAUCACAUCCUGGAGCUGGAGCAGGUUCCAAGGGUUCGGCUGUUCGCCGAUUAAAGUGGUACGUGAGCUGGGUUCAGAACGUCGUGAGACAGUUCGGUCCCUAUCCGUCGUGGGCGUAGGAAACUUGAGAGGAGCUGUCCCUAGUACGAGAGGACCGGGAUGGACGGACCUCUGGUGUACCGGUUGUCGUGCCAACGGCAUCGCCGGGUAGCCAUGUCCGGAAGGGAUAAGCGCUGAAAGCAUCUAAGCGCGAAGCCCACCUCAAGAUAAGGUUUCCCUCGGAGUUAAUCCGGUAAGACCCCUGAUAGACUAUCAGGUUGAUAGGCCAGAGGUGUAAGGGCAGCAAUGCCCUCAGCUGACUGGUACUAAUCGGUCGAGGGCUUGACCUU
rnacentral:rRNA from 1 species